GGGCCCUUAGCUCAGUUGGCAGAGCGCCUCAAUGGCAUUGAGGAGGUCAGCGGUUCGACCCCGCUAGGGUCCACCA
rnacentral:tRNA from 1 species